rnacentral:lncRNA from 1 species
AUGUAUUCACCAGGGGAGGAGCGGGAUGAAAGCGCUUUUAACCUCCCCGCCAUAAACUUUAAUCGGAUUCCGAGCUGUUGCACGGCAUGGACUCCUCGCCUCUUCUCUGCGUCUCCUUCCCCGUUGUCUCCCAUUUCUACUACGAUCUGCUUUGCGAGAGCCUUUUCCAAGCGAAUGAGUGAUUCCUUUCUCUUGCCAUGUGCAAUCUUUCCCCCCUCCCCUUUCUACCCUCUCUGGCCUCUCUUACACACACUAUGUCUUUCACAUGCGGUCUGUGCCCCCCAGCCCCCUCCCUUUCUUUCUCUUUUGCAGUGUCUUCGCAUGCAAUCUCUCCCUGAAUGUGCAAUGUCUUUCCUGCUCGGGAGUGCUGCGUCCUUCACAGUGGAUUGGUUCCUCUUUCGGAGCAGAGAUCACGGGAAAAGAGAAAAGCAGUCGAAUAUUGUGAUAAUCCUGGGAGCCUGCAGAAGCUGGUUGAUAGACUUACAUGAAGAAAUUGUUACAGAUGUCAUGUUUUGAGGAUGGCUGAUCCUGUGCUUGGAAGCCAGCCAGAGAUCAUGAGGAUUGCGACUCUUCUUGAGCUUAUUACAAUGACAUUACGAGGAACAGAACAGCUUCAACCAGAUCAAAAUCAAUUUAUUCAGCUUUUUACUGCAAAGGAAGGGAAAGCCUCUGCGUGUUACAGCCUUGAGUUUCUUUAUGCCUAAUGAUGCUGUGCUUACUUCAAAUUGAAAUGGGCUUCCCAAAAGUCGAAUUUUUAAAAGGUUUUCUGAAGUCUGGAGAAAGGUAAGAGAAAAGCAGAAACUACUUUUUAUCAGAAAACAGAUAAAUAAAUAAGCCUAGUGUCAAAGUAACGUGCUUGAC